CGGGAAUUUUGGGCAAUGGGCGAAAGCCUGACCCAGCAACGCCGCGUGAAGGAUGAAGUAUUUCGGUAUGUAAACUUCGAAAGAAUAGGAAGAAUAAAUGACGGUACUAUUUAUAAGGUCCGGCUAACUACGUGCCAGCAGCCGCGGUAAUACGUAGGGACCAAGCGUUGUUCGGAUUUACUGGGCGUAAAGGGCGCGUAGGCGGCAAUUCAAGUCAUCUGUGAAAUCUCCGGGCUUAACUCGGAACGGUCAGAUGAUACUGCUUUGCUAGAGUGCAGAAGGGGCAAUCGGAAUUCUUGGUGUAGCGGUGAAAUGCGUAGAUAUCAAGAGGAACACCUGAGGUGAAGACGGGUUGCUGGGCUGACACUGACGCUGAGGCGCGAAAGCCAGGGGAGCAAACGGGAUUAGAUACCCCCGUAGUCCCUGAGCGGGCUGGCAAGGCGCAU
rnacentral:rRNA from 1 species